UGCAGGCGUGGAGAUGUGAUAGUGGAACAUAGCGUACAACAGCUUUGGUGCGAGAGAUACAGAGAUCUCCAACACAGGAAGACAUAUAAGCUCAGUUGGAAUAUUUUCAUGGGCUUUCACGACAGAAAUCCAUCUGUUUCAGGGAUGACUUUAAGAUUUUAGCUGAGAUUUUAACUUGCUUUUAAUGCCCGGAAAUGAAACCCAGGACAGAUACACCCUUAUGCUGCAAAUCUCAUACAGGAGCAGCAUGGAAAAUAAAAAAAACAGUUUUGAUUGAGUUUUAUUUUAACAAUGUUUUGUAACACUGCUGUACUACGGCAUCAUACUGUUCUGAUGCCAUGUGUUUCGAGUACUGCCUCGGGCAUGUAAUGGACCAGAAUAAACCUUGUAAAGUAUACUGCCAAAGGUCUAAAGAAGAUUUGGAGUCCCGGAAGAGGAACAGACUGAAACUCACUCAUGGAUCGUAGGUUACCUUGAGGAAAACAAUGGAAACCAAGGCGACACUAUUGAGACAUAUUGUAUAAGCGAGUCACCUGUUUUCUCUUGUGAUACCUGGCAACACUGACAGCGUCUCACACAUUGGCAAUGGAGCCCGACCAAGGAGUUCCCCAUUUGGGAACACAUUGUUUUCAGUAUGAAGUACGAAGACGGAAAUAAACAAGUGGACAACUAUGACUUGUGUACCAAGACACUGCAAGCCACGCCUCACGCAAGAUACACAGAUGCACGUUAGCCAUGUUUGUUGUCAGAUAACAAAAGUGAUUUGGCAAAGCUGAUCUACUAGCUGUCAUUGAAUUUAUAGUCAUAACCACACAUCCAUCCAGCCAUCUUCUUCCGCUUAUCCGGUCCGGUCGUGGGGGCAGCAGCCAAAGCAAGGAGGCCCAGACUUCCCUCUCCCGGGCUAGUUCGUCCAGCUCCUCCCGGCGGAUCCUGAAGCGUUCCCAGGCCAGUUGAGAGACAUACGUACAUCCUUUAACGUGUCCUGGGUCUUCCCCGAGGCCUUCCACCGGUCAGACAUGCCCUGAACACCUCCCCAGGCAGGCAUCCAGGAGGCAUCCUAACCAGAUGCCCGAGCCACCUCAUUUGGCUCCUCUCAAUUCGGAGGAUCAGCGGUUCUACUGCAAGUUUUCUCCUGGAUGACAGUGCUUCUCACCCCAGCCACCCUCUGGAGAAACCUUAGCGAUCUUGUCCUUUCAGUCGCCACCCAAAGCUCAUAACUGUACGUGAGGGUAGAAACGUAGAUGGGCCCGUAAACUGGGAGCUUGUCUUUUGGCUCAGCUCCCUCUUCACCAAUCGCCCGAUGUCACGUUCCACUUGAACUCCUCCACUUGGAACAGGAUCCUAUACCCUUUCCGGAGAUGGCACUCCAUCCUUGCAGGGUCUCAUCCCAGCAUCUUCACACUCAGCUGCGAUCCCAUCUACUGAGAGCUGGAAAAGGCAGACUCAACCCUGCAGCCACCAAACUGGAUCCCCUCAAGGCCCUGACUGUGCCUACAAAUUCUGUCCAUAAAAGUUAUAAACAGAAAUGGUGACAAAGGGCAGCUCCGGUGGAUUCUAACCCUCACUGGUCGUAUUGAAACCACACAAUGGCCAGUUUUCUGAGACUUUUUUGUGUCUGUGCACGCGGCAUGGUCAUGCACAUGAACACCUGAGUGCGGCGAGCGAAAGCCGUGAACACCAAUCAUCACAUUCAGGUCAAAGUUGAACAAAUGUAAACAUUUAUUUGUUAAACGUGUUUUGUUUUUUUAAAGCACUGGUAUGCCGUUGGUAACGCAUGCUAGUCGGUGGUGGUGUUCUUGUAUUUUGUGGUUAAAAAAAAGUGUAGUGUGGAGCUGAAUACUACAGUCACACGUUGAAUGGUGGUCUUAAUGGCUGAUACCGUAUUUGUAUUUAGUUAUUUUUGCCAUUUUUAUGCUUGAACAUGCUUAAUUUGGGUAAAAAAAACCUACAAUUUGCUUCAACAUGCAAAUUUUUGACAAAUAAUAGGCUGGAGUCAACCAUGAAACAGUGAUCAUUUAGUUAUUAAUUCAUUUUUCAAAAACUGUGACAGUGAGGGAGCGAUGUUCAACCCAAGGUGUAGCGAGACAACUGUACUGCAUUCCUUCCACAUUCUCCUCCACAAGCAGCUUCACAGUCUUGUAGAACGAUGCCUGUUUUUAUACACAUUUUCUCAAGCAUAGUUUCUCUUUUUAGCCCUUUUUUUUGCCAUUGUCUUUGCUUGAUGCUGUUUUUGUAGAGUAGUAGAGUUUUAGUUGCGGUGCACUUUUUGUGUUUUUUUUUCCGUGUUCCAAGUUUCCCACAAGUUACUGUGUUAUUAUUUCCAACCUUGCCUCUGUCCCUUCAUUCAGGAUCCAACGCUUACUCUUGUCCCUCAUUUUGUUCCACAAACGCACACACGAACUAACAACACUAAUGCGUACACUCAACUGAGGUGUACUGGGAUUUCUAGUGGAAUUGCAGUCUUCAUUAAAAGAUGCUAACGGUACACACCACCAGGUCCUUAUGUCAAAUAACUUUAAUUUCCUGGAUUAAAGCUGCCGGCUGUUCAGCAUCCCGAACAAACAGAUACUCACAGGGCACAAUCACUGCCUCAGCUGCCUUUCUGUUUGCAUGGGGCAAAGACAUGGACCUCACACUGAAUGGACACGUUGCAAUUAUAGCGCGGUCAUAGCCCGAUUUCCUGUGCAACCGUGUAGUGAGAGGCAAUAACAAGCCAGUAGCUCUGUCAAUAAUAAAUUGUUGUUUGCCGAGGAGCCGCUGGCUCAACACUGAUAAAUACACUGAUGUUUGUGGCCUCAUGGAAAACAAACUGACUCUGUUUACUGAGAUAUAUCUCCAUUAUCUGCAAAGUAAGACAUUGGUCUUUUCAAUGUGGAACAGUCAUGUCAACAGGGCUGGAAGGAGCAAAAAAAACAUUAAAAAUAUAUAUAUAAUUUUUAAAUGGUGAGACAGAAUUUAUGCCCUUUUGUUGUUGCCCAGUUAUAUCUUGCAGCUGAAUGUAAAUUGUGUUGAUAUAAUUCGUUUUUUUAUCAUAAAUACGAUUUUUAACAUUACUAGAGCCCUCUGGACAUGAAAUAACACCCCUAAAGUCACCUUUACACUCCUAUUACCCAAGAGAACAUCGGCAAUUUUAAGACAUAAAUAAGAUGCAACAUAGACUCACAUGUUAGAAUUGACAGUGUACUUCCUGCAGUGGCUAUUGUCUCAUCAAUGCAACGUUACUGACACCUAGUGACCAGUGCAGAAUACUCUCUGUGGAUAAGGAGAGCCUUACGAUGCACUUCAAUGUCUUUAUGAACUGGCACAGAACACAUAUGUAGUGAACAUUCACACAGGAGCUGCUGUCAGCCACAACUCACACCAGCCACUCGCACUCUCCACACUGCUAACACUCAGCUGAACACACACAGUCAACUGUAGCACAGUCUGACAUCACGCUCGGGCUGCAGCUAUCGAAUAUUGUAGUAAUUGAGUAUUCCACUGAAUUUUUUUCAAUAAUAUAAUAAAUAUUAAAUAAUAAUAAUACACAAUACAUAAUAAAUAUAUAAAUAAUAUUAUAAAUACACAAGAGAAAAUAUUUCACUGAAUAAUGAACGAUCAAUUGGUUUCAUUUUUUACAUAAUCAACUGUUUUAUUUCUCAAAUUCACAUUGGGCAAAUGAACAAGCUGUAUUUCCUUGGGUCUGAUGAGCUUUUAUAGACGAAUUUAUCCAUCCCAGACUAACUAUUUACUGGAAAAAGAGCGCAAUAAUAAUGACUUUAAUAAGACUAAACUGCAUAUUACAUUAUGUUGAUGGCUGUGCUUUUAUAAAUCCUGAACGUAGGCAGACUGACUAGAAAUAAGACAAAUAUUAUAUACAAGAUAUUGAGUUUUUGCAGUAUUCUAAGUAAAAUCAAGACACCUGUAGUGACACAUUACUCUCAAGCCCUCCACAUGGCUAGCGUUAUGUUUGUAAGGUACAUUAACCUUAAUCUAAGUGAUUUGCGCUACGUUAAUUUUACCUUGUCUCGGAUCUUCCGCUCCCUUUGGGAGGAGAUGAUGCAACAUAUAAGAUGUGCUGUUGUGGUAUGGAAGUGUGGCGUUACUACGGAUACAUGUCACGGUGCUCAAAUUGCUGUUUAGCCACACUUUCUGUCUGUUUACAUUUUGUUUUGUUCUCUUUCAUUGCUUUCUAAACCUUCCCGCGCCUUCAAACAUCCGCUUCCUUCUUUGUCCUCUGCGCGGGUGACGUAAGCGAUUCCUCGAGGCAGAAAAAAAGUCCUUGAUUCUUUUUUUUUUUUAUAAUCAAGGUACUUAUUCGAGGAAUCGUUGCACCCCCACAUCACACACAUCGCUCCUUAAAAGGCGCACACAACACGUCAUAGAUAUUACACUACAUAUCAUGUCUUCUUCUUCUUCAAGUACAAGGCAUUUAAACGUUGAUAAAAUGUACUACAGUUCCCUCGUUUAUCGUGGGGAUAGCCUGCAAUAAGUGAAAUCCACAAAGUAGCCAACCAAAUUCUUUUUACAAUAAACAAAUACUGAGACGAGGUGGAGGGAUGACAUCUUCACUCCAGCUGCACCCGAUUUCAACUCUCACAUGAGUACACAACACCCUCUACUGGUAGGAGUAGUAAAUACAAUAACAGACACAUACAGCAGAGCACCGAUAGAUGGCUCUAAUACACCACAAGGACGCACAAUGUACACAAUGUAGCGAGGGAAUACUGUAUUCUACACUCAUUCUACACAUUAUCUCGCAACAGGCACAAUAGUCAUGUCAUAAUAAUCAGAAUAAUCCUCAACAUAAUCAUAAUAAUAACACAUGCUACUGCUGUGGCUGUAAUCCAGCUAAAACUCAACUCUGAACCCCUGAUGUCACUUCCUGUCCACAUGUCCGGAACACACUUCUUGGAACAUACAGUACAUGAGUAGGAGUCUUAUUUAUGUCUUAAAAGGCUUAUUUUCUCUUAUUAUAUCUACCAUAUUGGGUAAUACUAAAUGAAGCAUUUAAGCAUAAAAACGGCCAAAUUAAGUAAAAUACAAAUAUAAGGCAUUCAGAAGACGCAUUCAAAUAUGUUGUGGUGAUGUGUAGUAUUCUACACUGGUCACUAGGUGUCAGUAAUGUUACUGUAAUGUUGGGCGACACACACAAGCACCAGACUUGAUUGCCGGAGGAACAGGCUUUUUUUACCGGUUUGAAUUAUGUCACAACAGGCGCAAUAAUCCCUAACACUGGCUACUAACUCAUGGCGGGCCACAACUCAACUCUGAACCCCCACCAUAAUUUCCUGUUCACCCCCCACUCAGCUUCCCUGGCACCCAAACACAUUUAUAGCAACACACAAGAGGCUUAUUUAAGUCUUAUACGUCUUCCUUUCUCUUAUUAUGUCUAUUAUAUUGGGUAAUAGCAGUGUAAAGGUGACUAUAGGGGUGUUAUUUCAUGUCUACAGGGCUCUAAUAAUAUAAAAAAACAUAUUUAGAAGGUUGUAAACGUAAACAACUACGAAAAUAUUUGAUUUAUAAAUAAGGCUUUGUGGAAAUUCCGUGUUGGGUGCGGUACCACGUAGCCACGAUAAAUGAUGAAUGACUGACUUUACUACAAAUGAUGAAUGAAAGGGAUAAAUGAGCAUUCAAGGUUACUUUUACCCGUUUAGGACAAGAUUGUUGCCAAAAACACGACGUGGCAGUGAGAUCAACACAGACACCACCUUCCUCUUUUGCCAUGAGGUAAUUUGAAUUCAAUAGUGUUUCUCACAUGCACUUUUCUUUUGAUCACGGCUGCAAAAUAAGCCAAAAUGGAGCCACACAAAGUUCCAAGUGCCAGCAUUUUGAGAAAGAAUACGAGAAAGACUAUUGAAUGAAUCGAUCAAUGAUGAUGUCCACCGCAAGGUGUUGCAAUGAGAGUUGAGAUUCUCUCCAAGGCUGUGAAUGUGGUCUGGUUUCGACUUUGCUUGAGGAUAAGAGAGUCACUUGCUGUUUAUUAGGACAAGACAUGAGGACAGCGUGUCCCUGCAGCCAUGGAGCAGAGCGGACUCAGCUGGAGUCCGUAGAAUUUUAAUGUAUGUGCAGAGAGCCCUGUUCAUCUCAUUGUGAAGAGCCACACUAAACCAUUUUUCUGCUUGAUUUGGAACAUAAAUCCCCUGCUCUUACCUUCCACUUCAACACUCUUUUGUAGUUCACCUUGGAAUAUCACUGUGUCCUUCUGUGUUUUGUGUGAAUGAGUGUCACGGUCUCUCUUCAGUAUUAUCUACCUGCAUUCCUGCCACUGUCUGACAGAUUGGGCAACUGACGCGGGCCAUCAAUCAAUGCACUCAUCACUGAGGGCUCAUCCUGCAAGGAGACGUUCACAUCCGCAGACAUUAGCAGCAGCAUUCCAGCAUGACCAGACAUGUGUCAGGACAAAAUUGCAUCUGGAAAUGUUGUUGAUCUUGUGUAACGCCAUAAACGCUUUGGUACACACCUCGUUUUUAAUGUCACCGUUUGUGUUAUUUUGGGAAUGCAAAACAUAAAACUGUUUCGCUUCUGUGUCAACAGAUAUAAUGAUUUUUAAAAUGAUAAGUAAAAACUGCAAACUUCUAGCAUGUAAUUCUCCAUUAUACUGUAUAUACAGUAAUCCCUCGUUUAUGGCGGUUAACUGGUUCCAGACCCUGCCGUGAUAAGUGAAUUUCUGCAAAAUAGGAUUCCUUAUUUAUAAAUGAUAUAUUUUGGUAGUACCCUAUUUAGGCACCCUAAGUGGCAUAGAAAAUGGAUGGAUGGGUGGAUAUUUUGGUAGUUAGAGCAUAGAAAACCUGUUUAUGGCCUUCUAAAAAGGCUUUUUAACAUUAUUAGAGCCCUCUAGACAUGAAUAUAACACCCCUCUAGUCACCUCUACAUUCCUAUUACCCAAUAUAGUAGACAUAAUGCGAGAAAAUAACAUAUUUAAGACAUAAAUACCUUGACCCUAGGUUCCAUACCCCCAGGGGUACGCUAGUUGUCAUAGGGGGUACAUGAAUAAAAAUGAAAAACAAUUAGCACCUAAACCUCACAAUUACAAGUGUGCCUGAACGCCUUGCGGCACGGGACAGCGGAGCAGAGAAGAGACAGAGGAGGAAGUGUGCACCAUAUGAACAAAUACGGUAGGUUGAUGAUUAUUUUGUGCAUUAAGAGUUUAAUCUUGAAAGAUUUAUUUUGGUGUUUCAAUCCCCGCACGCUGCAGCGGUGAAAACCUGUCAAAGUAAGUGGCGAUUCUCCCGAAAAUGAAGCUUUAUCGUUGGUAUUUUUGUACUUCAGAUACUGCUUUAACUCAUUGGCUGCCAGCCAUGUUCAGAGCAGAGAGCCCCAUACUGUAGUUUUACUGAGUUUUGGGGCAUUUUUGCUGAACUUUCCAGACCCACAGAAUAUUGAGUUUUAGCACUACAUAAACAUUGGAACUAUCUAAAGAAAGUUUAGACUCUAAAGUGUACAUUCAUUCAAUAAACUAGUUAUUCAGCAGCACCUUUGCGCCUGUUGCCUAGUAGUAUUGUUCUCCUGCUAUUGCUUUUCUAGCAGAGCUUUGUGUUAUCCUUUUUGGCUUAUGCCCCGCGUCUUUUUGUUGUCUGACUCUUGA